rnacentral:rRNA from 1 species
UACGUAGGGUCCUAGCGUUGUCCGGAAUUAUUGGGCGUAAAGAGCUCGUAGGCGGUUUGUCGCGUCUGCCGUGAAAGUCCGGGGCUCAACUCCGGAUCUGCGGUGGGUACGGGCAGACUAGAGUGAUGUAGGGGAGACUGGAAUUCCUGGUGUAGCGGUGAAAUGCGCAGAUAUCAGGAGGAACACCGAUGGCGAAGGCAGGUCUCUGGGCAUUAACUGACGCUGAGGAGCGAAAGCAUGGGGAGCGAACAGG